rnacentral:rRNA from 1 species
GACAGAGGGGGCAAGCGUUGCUCGGAAUUACUGGGCGUAAAGGGCGCGUAGGCGGGAUGGCAAGUCGGUCGUGAAAUCCCUCGGCUCAACCGAGGAACGUCGAUCGAUACUGCUGUUCUUGAGGAUUGCAGAGGAGACUGGAAUUCCCGGUGUAGCGGUGAAAUGUGUAGAGAUCGGGAGGAACACCGGUGGCGAAGGCGGGUCUCUGGGCAAUUCCUGGCGCUGAGGCGCGAAAGCCAGGGGAGCGAACGGG